CCUCCCUAACCCCGCACACACAUUCCCCCAGUUACUCAGGAAAUACUAAUUUAGGUGCAGUGGUAAGAGAUUUUACAUAUGCAAUUAAAGGUCCCAAAUCAGCUGACCUUAAAAUCUGGAAAUUAUCUUUGGUGGGCCUGACUUAAGCAGGUGAGCCUUGAAUGUAAUUAGGCUUUUUCCUGGUAAAAGAUUAGACGCAUGCAAAGGAUUUAUUAGGGGCAAGAUUCUCCUCUGCUAGCUGUUGAGAUGAAGUGGGGCAGUGGCAAGGAAACUGGGCAGCCUUUAGAAGCUGAGAGUAACCCCUGACUGACUGAUAGCAAAGAAAGAGGAGAAAUUAAAUUCUGCCCAGUGAGCUUGGAAGAGAACCCUGAGCUCCAUGUGAAAACAGAGCAGCAGCUAACACCCUGACUCUAGCUUUGUGGGAACCUAAACAGAGAAGCUAGUCAAAGCUAUGGUUUUUCCAGUAGAAUUGAUGCUUUUGAACUUUGGUGUUGGAGAAGACUCUUGAGGGUCCCUUGGACUGCAAGGAGAUCCAAUCAAUCCAUCCUAAAGGAAAUCAGUCCUGAAUAUUCAUUGGAAGGACUGAUGCUGAAGCUGAAACUCCAAUACUUUGGCCACCUGAUGAGAAGAACUGACUCACUGGAAAAAACCCUGAUGCCGGGAACGAUUGAAGGCAAGAGGAGAAGGGGACAACAGAGGAUGAGACGGUUGGAUGGCAUCACUGACUCAAUGGACAUGAGUUUGAGCCAUCUCCAGGAGUUGGUGACGGACAGGGAAGCCUAGCGUGCUGCAGUCCAUGGGGUCACAAAGAGUCGGACACUGAACUGAACUGACUGAAACAGAACCAGCCACGCUUUGUCAAGCUGCUAACUUUGUGGUAAUUUGUUAUACAGCCAUAGAAAAUGAAUACAGGUGGUCAUUUGAAAGAGAGAGACUGCCUGGACAAAGGCGCAGAGGUGUAGAGCAGCAAAAGCCCCUGGGCAGCUUAUUAAAAAAUGCAGAUUUCUGAAUCCUACCAUGAGUAUCUGCACUUUGAAGAAGCAUCCCAGGUGAUCCUUCUGAGAAUUGCUGAGCAAGAGAUAAGAAGACUUGUACCCAGAUCGUCGUCAUGGUUGAGGGGAGGGUGAAUGACUGAAGGAAGCAGCCAGGGCAUUGGUGUGGGAAUGAGACACACUGGUGCUUUAUGGAUGCUUAUGCAGUGAAUACAGAGAACUUCCUGCAACUUUUUAGAAGGAGCAGCGUGAACACCCACAUCCGGACAAUCUGUCCUUGGACAUGUACCAGGCAGCAUUUUCAGAGAGAAAUUCAGUGGCUGAAGCCCGCUCUGGGGUCCCCACUCAAGAGAGGAGAGGAAGGAAGCAGACAACAGAUACCAGAAUCACACUGCCUGGUCCACACCCUUCAUCCUGUGCCUACCUUGGUAACGUCUCCGUGCCUCAGCUUCCUUGUCUGUAAAAUGAGGGUAACUGUAAUAACCUCCCUCAUAAGGAUGUUAACAAAUAGAUGUUACAUACAAAUACUUGUGUAUUUAUUUUUUAAAUGGUUACUGGUAUCUGCCAAGAACUAGGAGAGAUUUGAGGAUUUACGCUAUUCGUAAGCUAACAAAUUAGUCUGCUCCUCUUUCAUGAGUGCUGGCCGAUAACACAAGACUCCUGGCCAGAGGCAAAUAC
ensembl:lncRNA